CUUCAAACCGCCGGCAAUAUCACUUUAUAAGAUAAUCAGUUAUCCACUUAUUCAAUAAAAAUAAUUGAGGAUAUAUUAUGAAGUACAUAUUUCGUCUUGGAGAUAAUCAAAAAGACUCUAUCUGGGAGAAAAUCUUAUUUUUUUGCUGGCGCGAUUUCCAUAAAAGACAUGUGCAGCCCUCUAGCACUCAGUGACCCAAUUAAUAAUUGAAGAUUAUUUAUAUAUAACAGAUUCCUUAUCCAAGCAAGCAAAAAUAUGAAUAAAAAGAUAAAACCAAAA